rnacentral:rRNA from 1 species
GACGAACGCUGGCGGCGUGCUUAACACAUGCAAGUCGAACGAAGAGCGACGGAAGCUUGCUUCUAUCAAUCUUAGUGGCGAACGGGUGGGUAACGCGUAAUCAACCUGCCCUUCAGAGGGGGACAACAGUUGGAAACGACUGCUAAUACCGCAUACGAUCUAACCUCGGCAUCGAGGAUAGAUGAAAGGUGGCCUCUACAUGUAAGCUAUCACUGAAGGAGGGGAUUGCGUCUGAUUAGCUAGUUGGAGGGGUAACGGCCCACCAAGGCGAUGAUCAGUAGCCGGUCUGCGAGGAUGAACGGCCACAUUGGGACUGGGACACGGCCCAGACUCCUACGGGCGGCAGCAGUGGGGAAUCUUCCGCAAUGGACGCAAGUCUGACGGAGCAACGCCGCGUGAGUGAUGACGGCCUUCGGGUUGUAAAGCUCUGUUAAUCGGGACGAAAGGCCUUCUUGCGAAUAGUGAGAAGGAUUGACGGUACCGGAAUAGAAAGCCACGGCUAACUACGUG